CCUACGGGUGGCAGCAGUGGGGAAUAUUGCACAAUGGGGGGAACCCUGAUGCAGCAACGCCGCGUGGGUGAAGAAGUACUCCGGUAUGUAAAGCCCUGUCAGCAGGGAAGAAAAUGACGGUACCUGACCAAGACGCCCCGGCUAACUCCGUGCCAGCAGCCGCGGUAAUACGGAGGGGGCAAGCGUUAUCCGGAUUUACUGGGUGUAAAGGGAGCGUAGACGGCUUGGCAAGCCAGAUGUGAAAGGCUGGGGCUCAACCUCAGGACUGCAUUUGGAACUGUCAUGCUAGAGUGUCGGAGAGGCAGGUGGAAUUCCUAGUGUAGCGGUGAAAUGCGUAGAUAUUAGGAGGAACACCAGUGGCGAAGGCGGCCUGCUGGACGAUGACUGACGUUGAGGCUCGAAAGCGUGGGGAGCAAACAGGAUUAGAUACCCUUGUAGAC
rnacentral:rRNA from 1 species